UUAAUACUCCCUCCGUCCGGAAAUACUUGUCCUAGAAAUGGAUGUAUCUAGACUUAUUUUAGUUAUAGAUACAUCCAAUUUAUCCUUUCUUAGAACAAAUAUUUCUCGCUAGCCGGAGAGGGAGUACCUA
rnacentral:pre_miRNA from 1 species